UAGUCCACGCCCUAAACGAUGUUUACUCGAAGUAUGUGUUUGGCAUGUGCUUCCAAGGGAAACCGAUAAGUAAACCACCUGGGGAGUACGUCGGCAACGAUGAAACUCAAAGGAAUUGACGGGGGCCCGCACAAGCGGUGGAGCAUGUGGUUUAAUUCGAUGCAACGCGAAAAACCUUACCUACCCUUGACAUCCUCAGAACUUGUUAGAGAUAACUUGGUGCCUUCGGGAACUGAGUGACAGGUGCUGCAUGGCUGUCGUCAGCUCGUGUCGUGAGAUGUUGGGUUAAGUCCCGCAACGAGCGCAACCCUUACCUUUAGUUGCCACCAUUAAGUUGGGGACUCUAAAGGGACUGCCGGUGUUAAACCGGAGGAAGGCGGGGAUGAUGUCAAGUCCUCAUGGCCCUUACGACCAGGGCUACACACGUACUACAAUGGCAGAAACAAACCGUUGCGAAGCCGCGAGGUGGAGCUAAUCGGAAAAACACUGUCUCAGUCCGGAUUGAAGUCUGCAACUCGACUUCA
rnacentral:rRNA from 1 species